rnacentral:rRNA from 1 species
GAUGAACGCUAGCGGCAGGCCUAACACAUGCAAGUCGAGGGGUAGAAGGAGCUUGCUCCUUUGAGACCGGCGCACGGGUGCGUAACGCGUAUGCAAUCUACCUUGUACAGGGGAAUAGCCCAGAGAAAUUUGGAUUAAUGCCCCAUAGUAUAUAACCUUCGCAUGUUGGUUAUAUUAAAGUUCCAACGGUACAAGAUGAGCAUGCGUCCCAUUAGUUAGUUGGUAAGGUAACGGCUUACCAAGACGAUGAUGGGUAGGGGUCCUGAGAGGGAGAUCCCCCACACUGGUACUGAGACACGGACCAGACUCCUACGGGAGGCAGCAGUGAGGAAUAUUGGGCAAUGGUCGCAAGACUGAACCAGCCAUGCCGCGUGCAGGAAGACGGUCCUAUGGAUUGUAAACUGCUUUUAUACAGGAAGAAACCCUCCCACGUGUGGGAGCUUGACGGUACUGUAGGAAUAAGGAUCGGCUAACUCCGUG